GAAAACGGGUAAGCCCGCUUAUGGCCCGAAAGUGGAGGAGGCGGUGGCGGCAUCUGGUAAUUCGAAUGGAACCUUCCAGAAUCAACCCCACCACCACCAGUACCAACAGCAACCGCAACCGCAUCAGUAGGAGGGUAGCGAGGAGGGCUAUCGAAGGCGGGCCGGUGGGGCCCACGAUAUACAUUAGGGCUUCGACGAUGAUGUUGAGGGUGAGGGUUCAUGGAACCAUCAGAGAAAUUAGUUCUAGAAGAUGGGGGACCCCCUCUUGAGUGCUGCUGCUUAUAAUGAAAUGGGUCUGAAUUGUUGUUGCUAUUCACAUACCUCUCUCCUCCUCUGUGCCUAUCCAUCAGAUUAUUGACUUCGAGAAUUCAAUAAACUUAUUGAGAAUUGGAGAUAAAGGGGUUCGAGUAUCGGGGUCCCUUAAACCCUAGAGGAGUUCCUUGUGCUGAACUUACAGAACUAGUGCUCUAGCCCUAUAGGAAAUGGAGAACUCUAUUCUAGUCUAGCUAUUAUAUAAUUAUAAUAAUAGUGGCCUCUUUACUUGAAUGACGUUGCACGUUUUACAUUGCGUAUCUUAUUUUUCAUUAUUAGUAAAGCAAGAAUCUACUAAUCUCUCAAUUUACCUCAAGUUAUUUCCUUUUUAUUUCGUAUUAAAAAGAAUAAUAUUUUUUUAUAUUUAAAAAUAAUUUAUAAUCACAUAAAAUAUAUGUAUCUCAUUUUACACCAUAAAUUUUUUUAAAAAUUAGUUUUUCUUAAAUUCCAAGCCCAAUCAAAUAGGUUUAAAUAAAUUAAAACUGAGAAAAUAUUGAUUAACUUUUUGAAUAGUACAAGAAUAUAAAAAAAAUUACUUUUUCUUGUCGGUACUAUAUAAAACCACUCGUAUACUCAAUCUUUUUAUUUAAAACGAGCAACUCUCUUUUCUUUUUUUCUUUAGAUAUUCGAUAUUUAUUGUUAUUGGUCCGAUUAACCUAAAUAUAAACUUGAGUAGAUUCUGAUCAAGGUAAGAUUACAUGUAUUCGAUAUUUACAUUAAAUUAACUUAUCAUAGUUAAGCAAUAUAAGAGUGAAAAUAUAUAUUAAUGAUUUAAUAGAUACUAUUUCCCUCCAGCUUAUAUGCAAAUUCCUUUGGCACGCCUUUGUUUAACAGUCAAUCUUUCACUUACCAAAUGUUUAUCUAGGUGUGUCUAAGUCACGUCACUCUUCUAACAUGCACGUAUUUAACCAUAAAAAAAAAGAGCAUGAGGAGGGUAGUGAUUUUGUCCAAAAUCUUAUUUAAGUGCCAUAUGUCAAAGAAUAAACCCAAAAAAAUAAAAUUAAAAAUAUUGAUCAACCUUUCAACCUCGGAGAAGUUUGACCUUACUUAUGAUUCCAUUUUAGUUUAGCAAAAAACUUGCACCCCUUUGCUCCCUAACUCUAUAGGGAUGGAGGAAGGGUAAAAUCGAAAAUUUCACAUGGUACUUUUAUGAAUUUGAGUUAUUUCAUACCUUUGGUUCAAUGAGAAAUCAGUCAAAUUCUACAGGAUCAAACCUAGGUCGCAGCCCUAUCCAUUUAGUCAUUCGAGAGUCUCUACACCUAUCUUUUUUUCUUGAACCAAUAAAUUGAUGAAACAAUAAUCGGAGGGUAGCGAGGAAGGCUAUCGAAGGUAGCCCCGUGGUCGCUGCGGGGCCCACGAUAUGCAUUAGGGCUUCGACGAUGAUGUUGAGGGUGAGGGUUCAUGGAACCAUCAGAGAAAUUAGUUCUAGAAGAUGGGGGACCCCCUCUUGAGUGAUGCUGCUUAUAAUGAAAUAGGUCUGAAUUGUUGUUGCUAUUCACAUACCUCUCUCCUCCUCUGUGCCUAUCCAUCAGAUUAUUGACUUCAAAAACUUUUUGAGGAUUGGAGAUAAAGGGGUUCGAGUAUCGGGGUCCCUUAAACCCUAGAGGAAUUCCUUGUGCUGAACUUACAGAACUAGCUAUGCUCUAGCCUCUAGGAAAUGGAGAUAGCUAUUAUAGUGUCUCUAUAGUCAAUUACUGAUACCAACUAUGAUUCGAUAAUCGCCAAG
rnacentral:lncRNA from 1 species